UACAGAGGUCUCAAGCGUUGUUCGGAUUCAUUGGGCGUAAAGGGUGUGUAGGUGGCGGGGUAAGUCAGGUGUGAAAUCUCGGAGCUCAACUCCGAAACUGCACUUGAUACUGCCUUGCUCGAGUACUGGAGAGGAGAUUGGAAUUUACGGUGUAGCAGUGAAAUGCGUAGAUAUCGUAAGGAAGACCAGUGGCGAAGGCGAAUCUCUGGACAGUUACUGACACUGAGGCACGAAGGCCAGGGGAGCAAACAGG
rnacentral:rRNA from 1 species